UACGGAGGGGGCUAGCGUUGUUCGGAAUUACUGGGCGUAAAGCGCGCGUAGGCGGACCUGCAAGUCGGGGGUGAAAUCCUGGGGCUCAACCCCAGAACUGCAUUCGAUACUGCUUUGCUCGAGUACUGGAGAGGAGAUUGGAAUUCAUGGUGUAGCAGUGAAAUGCGUAGAGAUCAUGAGGAAGACCAGUGGCGAAGGCGGGUCUCUGGACAGUUCCUGACACUGAGGCACGAAGGCCAGGGGAGCAAACGGG
rnacentral:rRNA from 1 species